CAGCUCGGUCUUGUCCCCGAGGAGCUGCAGACCAAGGAGGAAGGGCUGUGUCACCUCCACCCGACCGCUGCGGGCCCCGAGGAGACUUCAAGGGAGGCCUGCAAGCAAGCACCCGACUGACGAGCCCGUGCCCACCGCUGCCCCCCCGGGUCCUGAGUCACCCGUGAGCCUCUGACACUCGGGGUCCUGGGGUGCCCCGGGUGGGAGGGUGGAGGCCGCUCCCUGGAACCGUGACCGGCUGCCUUCUGGAGCCCCCCCACCCCGGGGCUCUCCUCUGCGAAGGGCUUCCUCGGUGGGUGGGCUCCGUUUGCUGGGGAGCACCUGUCACCUCGAGUUCCCUUUGGUCUCUUUGCACCGCCUGUCAGUUGAAGGUAGGACUUGCAGUGCCAGAGGACACUUUGCGUGUGGACACACGUGAGAUUUUAGCCUGGAUGAUGCCACUAGUGACAGGCUGCAGCCCCUCCGGUGCCCAGCAGUAGUUUAUUGGAUUGUCUCACGUGGACUGUCUCAGUUACGCUCCUAAAUCCCCUCACCUGUAGCCCUUGAGCACGGGGGCCAUGACUCGGCGUCAUGACUUUUGAUCUCCAGUUCUCAGGACCCAAGUUCUGGCCCGUAAGGAACGUACCACACCUGGUUCGAGAGUGGAUUCCGAGGGGUCACCCUCUGUAAGGAGAAGAGAAUCCAGUGAGAGCGACAGUUCUUCCAAGGCAACGACGACGCGUCGUGGCCUUCUUGAUGGUGAGGAAGCAUGGCCUCUCCUGCUGGGGCUCCUGGCCUGUCUUUCCAUCCCAUCACUCGUUCCUGGAUAUCAAUCCCAAGGCCAACCAGAACUUCCUGAUGAGUGGGCCAUGGUGUCUUGUUCUGGGAACCCGUUCACACAUAGGCUGAGAGCUGAGUGCCUCACCCCUCAGGGACCUGCACGCGGUUGCUUCUCGGAGCCAACAGCAGCCUCCCCGGUUGAUCCUGGCUUGGCUUCCCAACUCUACUCUACUCCACGGGUGCCUGCCAUCAAACAGAACAGGGACCAAGCAACAUCACCCGUACCCAACA
rnacentral:lncRNA from 12 species